CCUACGGGUGGCAGCAGUGGGGAAUAUUGCACAAUGGGGGGAACCCUGAUGCAGCAAUGCCGCGUGGGUGAAGAAGCACUUCGGUGCGUAAAGCCCUGUCAGUAGGGAAGAAAAUGACAGUACCUGGCCAAGAAGCCCCGGCUAACUACGUGCCAGCAGCCGCGGUAAUACGUAGGGGGCAAGCGUUAUCCGGAUUUACUGGGGGUAAAGGGAGCGUAGGCGGGGUGGCAAGUCAGAUGUGAAAACCCGGGGCCGAACCCCGGGAGUGCAUUUGAAACUGCCAUUCUAGAGUGCCGGAGAGGUAAGCGGAAUUCCUGGUGUAGGGGUGAAAUGCGUAGAGAUUAGGAGGAACACUAAUGGCGGAGGCGACUUACUAGAAGAUAACUGACGCUGAGGCUCGAAAGCGUGGGGAGCAAACAGGAUUAGAUACCCUUGUAGUC
rnacentral:rRNA from 1 species